UAGUCGGGCGCAUUCCCAUUGGUAGCCGCAGAUCGUGGAGAAUUUAAAUAUUUACCCAGAUAAUCAUUUUGUUAGUCGUGGAAAUGCAAAUAGGCCUAGAACGUAGUCGCGUACCAAUUUUAUAGUAUACCGAAAGACGACAGUGAGGCAGAAUUAACAACACUUUAGCAGCUGUGCAAAAGAUUAAGAUGGAAAUACCAAAGGAGAGGAACGGGACUCCCACAUCUUUUGGCAAGCCAGCCCAAAUCCCUAAUCCGCGCCAUUUAUUUACUCGCCGAGCUUUAUAUUCUUGGCUUCUCGUCUCAGAAGAAGAAGAAGAAGAAGAAGAAGAAAAUUAAGAAGAAGAAGAAGAAGAAGAGUCGGACUGACACGAAAUUCUCAGGCGCGAUUUGCCUGCGCGAGUCUAUUCUUUUAUUCCGCUCUCUAAUCAAUAGAGCGCACUCCUCCGAAAAAGCCCUCGAUAGUGCCACUUGGCACGGUGCACGGACUACAGUGGAACACCCAGGGUGGGAAGCACCUGCGGGAACCACACACUUUAGCCUUAGUUUAUUCUGGUACACGUUUAAAAAUUUACAAAAAGAAGGAUGGGGAUGAUUUCAUUAAAAUGUUAUAAAAUGCGCAAGAUAAAAAAAAAUAGGAGACAGUUUUAUAUUACAGCACCAGAUAGGUUUAUAUUAACGAAUAUUAUAUUAAUGAAACAGGUCAGGUUUCUGAGAAACAUGAAAUGCUAGCGGAAAGUUUUAAGAAAAGUUCUCCUGUUCCUCGGAAAGCGUCAUAGACAUCAUGGGAGUGAAGAUUCUACAUGCGAGUACAUCUUUCUGGUUAGAACGCUUAAAUUCGGAUUGGAAUGCAACCAAUGUGAAACUGUCCAGGGUGCUGAACCGUAAAGCGCGUCUCUGAAUUAAGUGUCGUCUCUGGGCACGCGCGUCACCAAACACCAAGAAUUGUAUGGCCACGCCCACCGUUUGUCAUUGAUUCACAGUGGGCCACAAAAAUAAUGGCAAUAGCCGUUAUAGAGUCAAGCAGUCUUAAGUGCUUUUAACACGUACACCACAAUUGAAUAUUUUUUUACCAUUCAUUCAUCUUCAGUACCUGCUUCAUAAUGGACAGUCUUGUGGUGGAUCCAGAGCCUAUCCUGGGAACACUGAAUGAUGUGGGAACACACACUGAACGGGACUCUUAUCAAAAUGUAAUUGCGGCAUUGGCUUGUAAGCAUAGAUUUUGGUGUGGCAGGACAACAUAACAAAAAAAAUUUGACUCAAGAGGCUAUCUAGUGAAUAUGUUAUUACGAUCCUUUAACAGGCAGGUUUGAAAGUUUUCUGAAAUACUUUUUAAAAUAGAAAUAGUUCUGUACGUCAGAGAGACCGUUUGCACUUACAUGCAGCCUUUUUGUGGAAAUGUAUUAUAUUUAAAACCAAAGAUUUGCUAUAAAAAUCUUAGCAGCCACAGAGUAUUUUUAAACCAGUCCACCCUAGCAAGCUGUUAUUAAGUGUUCUGUCUACUGCUCUUCUCCCAAGCAUGGAGAAGUAUGAUUCCUGCCCAAAUGGACCUUUAUCAGAGCUUGUUCCAGGCUUUUUUUGUACAGUAGCUGAACUAAUAAAUCUAUGGACCAAAAUGAGAACGUGAGCAUACUACCAAAUGACUGAGCAAUAUGCAGAAGGAAGAGCAAAUCAA